UUCUUGUGUCAUGCGAUGUCAAAUAGGAUAUUAGUACAUCGGAUGCUUCGUCGAUUGUAUAACAGUGUAGCCUCCAUGAAGGCAGGAACCUGAUUCGCCUCAGCAGUUCUCCCUUAUCAUCAAACAAGGAAACCUGAUUUCUAUAUCUCACCAAUAAUAGUAGCUCAUCUUCAGUCUGUAGGAUGUGUAUCCCCCUUGGAUUACUCUUACAAACUGAUUUAGCCACAGAAGGCUCUUCUUUGAGCUGGAUCAUAAUUCAGGAGGAGCAAACACUUGUAAGUUGAGAUCAAGGUUUCAUAAUAAUAAAAUCUAGUUACUUGUAUGUAAUAAACCUACAUCUGUGAUUCGGACUCGCAUAUUUUCCUCUUGUAGCACCACUUUAGUUGAAAUAGAUUGUAUGAAUCUAACUUCACUGUAAUUCUUGAGAAGAACAUAACACCUUUCUGUCAGGCCUCCGGUUUUGAGAGAGUGUGUUUGGAUAGGAAAGAGGCCCUUCAGGUCAGGUCUGUGGCUUGUCACUAAGAUAUUAUUGCUGCAAUACAUAUAAGUUGUCAGUAUGCAACAGUGAAAACAAAUGCUGCCUUUUGAAGCCUAGACUAGUACCUCAGAUUGUAGCACUCCAUGCCUGGCAUUGUGAUCUGAUGAAGUAAACUGCCGUUCCUUGUGCUAAAAAUUCUCAUAACGCUGAUGGGAAAAAUGUUUGUUUAUUUUAUUAGAUUAGACAACAAUAAAUAAAUAAAUAAAUAAAUAAAAUACAAACAAAUAUUGGAAAGUGUUCAAUUUAUGUGUACCUAGUUUUUUUAGAAAAUACCACUGCCUUUUCAGCACCGGCAGAUAAUUUCACAUGUUCCGGAUUCGUAAUUUCAGAUACAGAAAACAUUCUUAUCUGUUGGGGCACGCGGAUCGCCAUCCUUAUAGACCUAGAAAUGAAACCAGGUAGGAUCAAAAUGCACAAUUCUUUUGUUUCAAGUUAUGUAGCUGAUAGAAUGCUAAAUAUUUGUUAGAAUGCUAAAUGUUCUAUUAUAAGAAAGGAGGCAUAACAAUGUCAUAUAUAUGCACAGGAGAAGUUUUAUGUGGUAGCUUUCCAAUAUGCAACCAUUCUGUCCUCCAAUCCUGUUUUAUGUUAUGUUCUUUUUAAAGCACCAUAUAUAUCUGUUAAACUGCAGCCUUGUAACUAGGUUUGGUUCUGAAAUAUCAUAUUGAUAUUGAUUUCUACUGAAUAUCCCCUUCUCUACAGGUAACUUGGGCCGUCUUGACAGCGAGGCUCCACCGUUCCUCUACUUGCUGCAGCUGCCCACGCCCCUCUCUACUUGCUCCACCUGUGAUUAGUUGAAUCUUUUUGUCGUUGUCAUUAACAGCUGCUACUCUAACAAUGUUUCGACACUAUUGUUGUGCUGGUCCUUCUACUGUUGUUUUCUUUCAUUCAACAGUAUAACAACAGUACUGUUUUGAACUUGUAAGUUUUGUGAUGUUGCUUGUUUAGUUCUGCAGAAAUACAACAACAAGCAGUACUUAAGAGUAAUACUGAUGCUCAUGAAUACAGUAAUAAAACUUACUCGAGUGGUACUUUGGCGCA
rnacentral:lncRNA from 1 species